CCAACGGCCCUCUUUAGGGCCAUAUAAGAUGCAAAUGAAAUUGGUCG
rfam:Angiostrongylus cantonensis strain Taiwan genome assembly, scaffold: ACAC_contig0002227